GACGAACGCUGGCGGCGUGCUUAACACAUGCAAGUCGAACGGAAAGGCCCUGCUUGCAGGGUACUCGAGUGGCGAACGGGUGAGUAACACGUGGGUGAUCUGCCCUGCACUUCGGGAUAAGCCUGGGAAACUGGGUCUAAUACCGGAUAGGAGCCAUUUUUAGUGUGAUGGUUGGAAAGUUUUCUCGGUGUAGGAUGAGCUCGCGGCCUAUCAGCUUGUUGGUGGGGUAAUGGCCUUCCAAGGCGGCGACGGGUAGCCGGCCUGAGAGGGUGGACGGCCACAUUGGGACUGAGAUACGGCCCAGACUCCUACGGGAGGCAGCAGUGGGGAAUAUUGCACAAUGGGCGCAAGCCUGAUGCAGCGACGCCGCGUGGGGGAUGACGGCCUUCGGGUUGUAAACUCCUUUCGCUAGGGACGAAGCUUUUUGUGACGGUACCUAGAUAAGAAGCACCGGCUAACUACGUG
rnacentral:rRNA from 1 species